AGGUUCUUUUUUCUGAGAAGUUUCCUAUGAAGUUUAUUUUAUUUUGUAUAAGCCUCUUGGAUUGAGAAUAAGGAGCUCGCUGCAGUGAAUACUUGAGGCUUCUUUAAUAUGAAAUUAAUUAUGCACAUGUGGUGUGUCAGUGCUAACACCUUUCUAUGGGUCUUUCAACUCUAUUGAUUAGGUGCUAUCAUUCUCCCUGUUUUACAGAAAUUAAGGUGCACACUAGUUGUCUCUUGUUCUCAGGGUCCACAGCCCAUCAUUUUGACUCUGGGUCGGGCCCUUGACGGCCACACCAUGCUCUGCUGAGGCAGUGAGCAACCGAGGGGCUGGGCAGCACCUGGGGCUACUCCUGCGACGCUGAGUAUGGGAAGAUCAGACAUUUCUUAGAAGGAAGUAUAGCACUGUGGGCAGCCCCUGCUUUUUAAAUAUGCUCCGUUUAGGUGAGUAGUGGGGAAAUUCAUCAUAGCAGAUUUCCAGAAGAAAUGGAUUUUGAAGGAGAUAGCCCUCUGAUGAUACUGAAAGGAGAGGGAAACAGUUGUCUUCGUUUAAGGGUGCUGACCUACAUCCUGAAAAGGCUUCCAUAGAGAUGAUAUGGUAUUUGUCAGGGGGUUCUUAAAAGCAGUUUUACCUGGGACAAUUGUUUCAGUAGGUUUGCGAGUUUUAGCAGACCCGCCUUGUCCUCUUUCUACUGACAGCAAAUAGACAGGGCCAAGCUCCUUCUAUGUGGAGCUUCACUUCUUCCUCUUUUAUUUCAUCUCUGGGCUUUGGAGAAGAGAAGGGACAGAUACAGAUAGUUCCCCUUUCCUUCCUCGAAUGGGCACCAUGUCACAGUGCUAUGUUGGGGUGAAGAGGCCUGGAGAAAUUGCCAGGGGAGACCCCUUAUAAAGGCAAGAGGUCUGGUUUAAAAUCCUGCAGGGGUCAUUUACCUGCAUCUUUGUCAGGGCAUCUUUUUCAUUUUGCUUUGUAUUGAUCUUAUCUCUGUCUUUUCAUUCAUUCAACAAAAAGUGACUACUAUGUGUAACCAAUUACCACGGUGAGAAAAAGGUGGCAAGGUUUUUGCUUUUAUAGAAUUAAAAAAAAUCUGUACACAAAAAUACUUGCAUAAAAUGUUAAAUGACAACUGUUGUAAGUGUAUAUGGGAGAGAGAAAUAUUUGAGGGGAUUUGGCCUAGUUAAGGAAAUCAAGGUGGCCUUCCUCAGGAAGUGAUGGUGAGCAGCAAUAUGAAGGAUGAGUAGGAGUUAAAGAGGGAGGGGAUGACAUUACAGAGGUGACAGAAUGUACAAAGUCCCUGUGGUGGAGGAGGCCACAGUAUGAGUAAGGGACAGAAGGCCUCUGUGACUGAGAGUGUAGAAUAAAGGGUAUGAGACAGUCUUUUCCAAAGAGUCAUGAGGGCUUCUAAGCAUGGGUUUGAAGUGAUCAGAUUAACGAGAUGGUUGCAGUUAGAGAGAGAGAGAGAGAGAGAGAGAGAGAGAGAGAGAGAGAUGAAUGGAUUAUAGGGAUCCAAGAGGAGAUGUGGAUGGACCAGUAUAGAAGUUUUUGCUGUAGUUCAGGAAUAAAUGAUGAUCACCUGAUCAAGAGAGUCCUCCCCACCACUAGUGGAUGCUGUUGCUCAGAGGGACCCAGCCAUGUGAUGACAAUUGAAUCUUGGUGGGUGAAGUACCUGAAAUAUCAUAUUUCUCUUGGAUAGCUGUUCAUGCACAGGAAAUCAGGAUGUAUGUAGUAAUUUUGAAAGGUGCCAGAAAAUUUUCAUAAGAGAUGGGAGUCCAUGAAUCAAGUGAAGACAGGCUAUGGCAAUUUCAGAAAGCACGGGGAUUACUGCUUUAAAGGCCCAGGAACAACAGAUAAGAACACGGUCACUCUAUCAGUCUUUAUUGCGCCCUGGUGUGUAGUAGCCCUGAUGGAUGAGUAAGUAAUAAUUAAGAAAACAAGUUCAGAGGAGUGACUUGCCCAAGGUCACAUCUAACAACUGGCUACACCAGCUCUCUUAAUUCUACUUCGGGUGCUUCUUGGGCAUCAUAUUUAAAAAGGAGACAUAUCUACUACUAUUUGCAAUACUUUAAACAAUAAAAUAAAAUUAAAAACAUUUUUACCUCCAAGUAAUGUAUCCCACAAGUUUUGUUAUGUAGUUCUUUCAUAGUUGUUCAUAUUUUGUAAUUUUUAUUGACUUUAUCUUAAAUCUGCAAUACAUUUAAGGGUAUGUUUAUUUCCAAUGUAAUCACCUUGUGGAUAGAAAAGAUGGUUUGUUUACUAUACAUUACUUAAAAUGUGUUGAGACUUGCUUUGCUAAAGUUGUCAAUGUGUGCUUAAAAAGGAUAUGCAUUUUCUAUUCACACGCAGGCUUCCAUGUACCUAUACUGGACCAGGUUUCCUAAAUUAGCUCUUCAUCUCUUACAUAUCUUUCCUCUCUUUUUGUCUGUUUGACGGGUCAGGUCCUAAUAAAAGUAUGUUACAAAUA